AGCUUGUGAAUCUGUGCUGAGAUUUCUUCAGACACCAGACCAUCAGUAUUGAUGUGACUCCCAAAAUAAGUGAGGCG
rnacentral:pre_miRNA from 1 species